CUCACUGUGAUAAACUGGAGCACCCCAAGA
rnacentral:piRNA from 1 species